rnacentral:rRNA from 1 species
GAUGAACGCUGGCGGCGUGCCUAAUACAUGCAAGUCGAGCGAACGGACGAGAAGCUUGCUUCUCUGAUGUUAGCGGCGGACGGGUGAGUAACACGUAGAUAACCUACCUAUAAGACUGGGAUAACUUCUGGAAACCGGAGCUAAUACCGCAUAACAUUUUGAACCGCAUGAUUCAAAAGUGAAAGACGGUCUUGCUGUCCCUUAUAGAUGGAUCCGCGCUGCAUUAGCUAUUUGGUAAGGUAACGGCUUACCAAGGCAACGAUGCAUAGCCGACCUGAGAGGGUGAUCGGCCACACUGGAACUGAGACACGGUCCAGACUCUUACGGGAGGCAGCAGUAGGGAAUCUUCCGCAAUGGGCGAAAGCCUGACGGAGCAACGCCGCGGGAGUGAUGAAGGUCUUCGGAUCGUAAAACUCUGUUAUUAGGGAAGAACAUAUGUGUAAGUAACUGUGCACAUCUUGACGGUACCUAAUCAGAAAGCCACGGCUAACUACGUG